rnacentral:rRNA from 1 species
AACUUUCAACAACGGAUCUCUUGGUUCUGGCAUCGAUGAAGAACGAAUCACUAGUG